GCUUACGGCCAUACCACCCUGAUCGCACCUGGUCUCGUCUGAUUUUGGAAGCUAAGCAGGGUCGGGUCUGGUUAGUACUUGAAUGGGAGACCGCCUGGGAAUACCAGGUGCUGUAAGCU
ensembl:rRNA 5S_rRNA 5S ribosomal RNA